UACGUAGGUGGCAAGCGUUGUCCGGAAUUACUGGUGUAAAGGGAGCGCAGGCGGGAAGCCAAGUCAGCUGUGAAAACUACGGGCUUAACUUGUAGACUGCAGUUGAAACUGGUUUUCUUGAGUGAAGUAGAGGUUGGCGGAAUUCCGAGUGUAGCGGUGAAAUGCGUAGAUAUUCGGAGGAACACCGGUGGCGAAGGCGGCCAACUGGGCUUUAACUGACGCUGAGGCUCGAAAGUGUGGGGAGCAAACAGG
rnacentral:rRNA from 1 species